GCCAACUUAGCUCAGUUGGUAGAGCAGCUGAUUUGUAAUCAGCCGGUCGUCGGUUCGAGUCCGACAGUUGGCUCCA
rnacentral:tRNA from 1 species